rnacentral:rRNA from 1 species
CGCGUAGGUGGUAGUGCAAGUCUGGGGUGGAACCCCAGGGCUUAACCCUGGAGCUGCCUUGGAAACUGUAUUACUUGAGUCAGUGAGGGGAGGGUAGAAUUCCUGGUGUAGCGGUGAAAUGCGUAGAUAUCAGGAGGAAGGCCUGUGGCGAAGGCGGCCCUCUGGCGCUGAACUGACACUGAGGCGCGAAAGCGUGGGGAGCAAACAGGAUUAGAUACCCUGGUAGUCCACGCCCUAAACGGUGGGUACUAGGUGUAGGGCUCGUAAGGGUUCUGUGCCGAAGCGAAAGCAUUAAGUACCCCGCCUGGGGAGUACGGCCGCAAGGUUGAA